AAUAUUGGACAAUGGGCGAAAGCCUGAUCCAGCCAUGCCGCGUGUGUGAAGAAGGUCUUCGGAUUGUAAAGCACUUUAAGUUGGGAGGAAGGGCAGUAAGUUAAUACCUUGCUGUUUUGACGUUACCAACAGAAUAAGCACCGGCUAACUUCGUGCCAGCAGCCGCGGUAAUACGAAGGGUGCAAGCGUUAAUCGGAAUUACUGGGCGUAAAGCGCGCGUAGGUGGUUCAGCAAGUUGGAUGUGAAAUCCCCGGGCUCAACCUGGGAACUGCAUCCAAAACUACUGAGCUAGAGUACGGUAGAGGGUGGUGGAAUUUCCUGUGUAGCGGUGAAAUGCGUAGAUAUAGGAAGGAACACCAGUGGCGAAGGCGACCACCUGGACUGAUACUGACACUGAGGUGCGAAAGCGUGGGGAGCAAACAGGAUUAGAUACCCCUGGUAAUCUUUUUUUUU
rnacentral:rRNA from 1 species